UACGAAGGGGGCUAGCGUUGCUCGGAAUCACUGGGCGUAAAGGGUGCGUAGGCGGGUCUUUAAGUCAGGGGUGAAAUCCUGGAGCUCAACUCCAGAACUGCCUUUGAUACUGAAGAUCUUGAGUUCGGGAGAGGUGAGUGGAACUGCGAGUGUAGAGGUGAAAUUCGUAGAUAUUCGCAAGAACACCAGUGGCGAAGGCGGCUCACUGGCCCGGUACUGACGCUGAGGUGCGAAAGCGUGGGAGCAACAG
rnacentral:rRNA from 1 species